rnacentral:rRNA from 1 species
CCGACGGUGAGGGGCGAAUGCUGGGGGCGCAAACCGGAUUAGAUACCCGGGUAGUCCCAGCAGUAAACGAUGCCAGCUAUGUGUUGCUGGAACCAUGGGUUCCAGCAGUGCCGAAGGGAAGCCGUGAAGCUGGCCACCUGGGAAGUACGGUCGCAAUGGCUGAAACUUAAAGGAAUUGGCUGGGGUGAGUACCACAACCGGUGGAGCCUGCGGUUUAAUUGGAUACAACGCCGGGAAUCUUACCGGAGUGGGACAGCAGUAUGAAGGCCAGGCUAAAGACCUUGCCAGAUCAGCUGAGAGGAGGUGCAUGGCCGUCGCCAGUUCGUACCGUGAGGCAUCCUGUUUAGUCAGGCAACGAUCGAGACCCGCAGUCUUAUUUGCCAGCAUGCCCUUUGGGGUGUAUGGGUACAAUAAGACGACCGCCAGCGCUAAGCUGGAGGAAGGAGCGGGCUACGGUAGGUCAGCAUGCCCCGAAUCCUCCGGGAUACACGCGGGCUACAAUGGUCAGGACAAAAGGUACCGACCUCGAA